rnacentral:lncRNA from 10 species
CACAACACUUUUCAUUAGCUGGAGCAAUUUGGAGGACAAAGGUUUUUGAACACUUCAUUUCCUUGGGAUGGGCUUCAACAUGUUGGUCCUGUGAGGGUUUAUCCAGUCAGGCAUUCCACAGAUGUUUAUGUUGGGUCUCAGUUUCCUCUUCUGCAGGAUGAAAAGAUACAAAAAUAUAUAUAUAUUUAGGGAUCCUUUGGAUCUAGAAUUCCCUCACUUUAAAAAUUGUAUUGCAUAGCUGCUUGUGAUUAAAAGUGAGAAUGGUUAGGAGUGUUUCCCAGGAAGAAAAACGUUAAGCAGUAGAGAGGGAGGU